rnacentral:rRNA from 1 species
GAUGAACGCUGGCGGCGUGCCUAAUACAUGCAAGUCGAGCGAACAGACGAGGAGCUUGCUCCUCUGACGUUAGCGGCGGACGGGUGAGUAACACGUGGAUAACCUACCUAUAAGACUGGGAUAACUUCGGGAAACCGGAGCUAAUACCGGAUAAUAUAUUGAACCGCAUGGUUCAAUAGUGAAAGACGGUUUUGCUGUCACUUAUAGAUGGAUCCGCGCCGCAUUAACUAGUUGGUAAGGUAACGGCUUACCAAGGCAACGAUGCGUAGCCGACCUGAGAGGGUGAUCGGCCACACUGGAACUGAGACACGGUCCAGACUCCUACGGGAGGCAGCAGUAGGGAAUCUUCCGCAAUGGGCGAAAGCCUGACGUAGCAACGCCGCGUGAGUGAUGAAGGUCUUCGGAUCGUAAAACUCUGUUAUUAGGGAAGAACAAAUGUGUAAGUAACUAUGCACGUCUUGACGGUACCUAAUCAGAAAGCCACGGCUAACUACGUG